UGACAGCAGCUGCACCAGCGGCGUGUUCCACACCUGGGAGAUCUGAAACAAACAGGUGGGGACAGAUGUGACACAGGUGUGACACAGGUGUGACACAGAACCACCAGUGUUCCACACCUGGGAGAUCUGAAACAAACAGGUGGGGACAGGUGUGACACAGGUGUGACAGCAGCUGCACCAGCGGCGUGUUCCACACCUGGGAGAUCUGAAACAGGUGGGGACAGGUGUGACACAGGUGUGACACAGGUGUCACACAGGACACAGCAGUGCCAGCCUGUCACACAGGUGUCACACAGGUGUCACACAGGUGUCACACAGGUGUCACACAGGACACAGCAGGGCCAGCCUGUCACACAGGUGUCACACAGGUGUCACACAGGUGUGACACAGGUGUCACACAGGACACAGCAGUGCCAGGCUGUCACACAGGUGUCACACAGGUGUCACACAGGUGUCACACAGGUGUCACACAGGUGUCACGCAGGUGUCACGCAGGUGUCACACAGGUGUCACACAGGUGUCACACAGGACACUGAGCAGGGCACAGCCGGUCCCCACAGCCCUGUCCCACGCCCCCUGUGGCGCAGCAGGGCCCUGUGGUGGCCGGGGUGUCACCUGCCCCAUGGCUCCUGUCCCCUCCCCGGUGCUGCUGUACCCUCACCUAUCGUACCUGUACCCUCACCUGCGGUCCCGUACCCUCACCUGCCAUUCCUGUCCCCUCCCGUGGUGUUCCCGUCCCGUCACCUGUGGCUGCUGCACCUUCCCCGGUGGCUCCUGUCCCCUCCCCGCUGUCCCUGUCCCCUCCCCACUGUUCCCAUUCCCGGUGUUUCCUGUCCUCUCCCGGUGUUUCCCGUGCCCUCCCCGGUGUUCCUGUGCCAUUCCCGUGCCAUUCCCGGUGUUC
rnacentral:lncRNA from 1 species